GAACUGUACUGUUUUGAUUGUUAUACUUCAAAUGAUGACCAUAAAAAAUAUUACUACAACUCGUAGAAAAAGCAUAACAUCUAGAUAUCUUAAUGAAAAAUACAAUCAAGUAUAAUUAUGCUCGAACCGAAACUAUAAACAGACGUAGAAACACACACAUAAUACAAAAUCGUUGCGAAUACGAUAAACUUGUACCUUUACUUUAAUGAUAAAAUUCGAAAAUCUCGAAAAUAAAUCAACUUGAAGCUUUUUAGUGACAGCUUAUCGCGAAUAUAAGUAUCCGUGAACAUUAGUUUGAGUACGGUAUAUAAUUUGAAAAAAAAAUUGUAAUAAGACGUUUUUUUCCGUUGACGACCUGGAUGCGAGCCAUUUGAGUAAUUUUUGGGAUAGGGGUUCCCCCCUCACAACAAAAUGCGUUUUGUAGUAAUUUUAGUACACGUAGCUACAAUGGAAUAUGAUCAUUCAUUCAGAAAUAUUCUUCGUAAAAAAUGACUGUGGCAGAGUCAUAUUUGAUUAAUAUAUUAAAUAUGAUACUUUUGAUUAUUAAUUUUAUUGCAAUGUUUGAUAGUUUAGUUACUCAUUGUUUCUAUUUCUAGUACUAUUGUUCUAGUAUCAUUCUCUUUUCCCUUUGGUGGACCUCUUUUCUUUCAUAUCAUUUUGGAGGGAAAAUUCUAACCUUUUGAUUGGUCAAUCUUUAGGCCUUAUGCCUUACUAUAGGUUUUCUUUGUUUCUGGAGAUUAAUACUGCAGACAUAUUGAAAUGCAGUGGUGAUAAAUAACCUGCUUGAUAAAUUGAUUUUUUAUAUAUAUUAUACUACAUAUUCUUGGAUUUUCAAUAUUCUUAUAUUCAGGUUUGUUGAUGAACCUUAUUUCUAAUUAACAAAUUAAUAGUAUGUCAUUUUAAUACUUUAUGAAAGGAUUGAAUGUAUGUAUUUGAAUGGAGGAAUAGUUGGAGUAUGAAAGAGUAAAAGAUUAAAUCAUUAAAUUAUAAGAUAAUAACACAGAGUCAUAUUGAACAUUUUAGUAUAAAACAUUCUUGUACUUUAAAUAUUAUGAAGUUAGAUUAAAAGUAAUGGAUAGAUAAAUUUGGUAUUUGAAUAAUACAGAACUCUGAAACUACAUAUUUUAAAUGUAGUUGUGUAUUUUAUUUAAUUGGUGAAAUAGUCCUGUCACUGGACUUAUGAAUGUUAUAUUUUUAUUUAUUCAGGAUAUGGAUAAUUACCGUUUCAUAUGACAUGUAUGAGUAGUGCUCAGAUUUAUACACACAGCACUGUGACGUUUCCAAUUACUACACUGACCUAUGUACCAUAUACAUGGGUCUAAAUAUAGUGUAUUAAAAGAAAAGAACCCUA